GACGAACGCUGGCGGCGUGCCUAAUACAUGCAAGUCGAACGAGAGCGACCGGCGCUUGCACUGGUCAAUCUAGUGGCGAACGGGUGAGUAACACGUGGGUAACCUGCCCAUCAGAGGGGGAUAACAUUCGGAAACGGAUGCUAAAACCGCAUAGGUCUUCGAACCGCAUGGUUUGAAGAGGAAAAGAGGCGCAAGCUUCUGCUGAUGGAUGGACCCGCGGUGCAUUAGCUAGUUGGUGAGGUAACGGCUCACCAAGGCCGUGAUGCAUAGCCGACCUGAGAGGGUGAUCGGCCACAUUGGGACUGAGACACGGCCCAAACUCCUACGGGAGGCAGCAGUAGGGAAUCUUCCGCAAUGGACGCAAGUCUGACGGAGCAACGCCGCGUGAGUGAAGAAGGUUUUCGGAUCGUAAAACUCUGUUGUUAGAGAAGGAUAAGUGCUAGAGUAACUGUUAGCGCCUUGACGGUAUCUAACCAGAAAGCCACGGCUAACUACGUG
rnacentral:rRNA from 1 species